rnacentral:rRNA from 1 species
AGUGAACGCUGGCGGUAGGCCUAACACAUGCAAGUCGAACGGCAGCACAGGAGAGCUUGCUCUCUGGGUGGCGAGUGGCGGACGGGUGAGGAAUACAUCGGAAUCUACUUUUUCGUGGGGGAUAACGUAGGGAAACUUACGCUAAUACCGCAUACGACCUACGGGUGAAAGCAGGGGGUCUUCGGACCUUGCGCGAUUGAAGGAGCCGAUGUCGGAUUAGCUAGUUGGCGGGGUAAAGGCCCACCAAGGCGACGAUCCGUAGCUGGUCUGAGAGGAUGAUCAGCCACACUGGAACUGAGACACGGUCCAGACUCCUACGGGAGGCAGCAGUGGGGAAUAUUGGACAACGGGCGCAAGCCUGAUCCAGCCAUACCGCGUGGGUGAAGAAGGCCUUCGGGUUGUAAAGCCCUUUUGUUGGGAAAGAAAUCCAGCUGGUAAAUACCCGGUUGGGAUGACGGUACCCAAAGAAUAAGCACCGGCUAACUUCGUGCCAGCCGCCGCCGUAA